UUGGCUGCUAUGUCAAGUGUCUUUUCCACCUCCUGCAGUCCUUGGGGCAGAUCUGCUAGGUACGGAGGUCUCUGAUAUGAUCUGGAGAAGCUCCCAGGUUUUGGGUGUUUCUCCAAAUCAAAACUUUUAAAACUUGAAACCUUUUGAUGUUUGCUGAUCAUUAAUCUUUGCCAAGAUAAGACGUAAUGGAAUAUGCUUUGCUGAACCCACAUCAGACAGGCAGCAGAAACAGCGAUUCGUACUUGCGGCACUCCACCAUUUACACCCAUGUUAUUACUUACGGCACAGGAUCCUCACGCUUAUGGCGCUCCAGGGAAAUUUAAAAUGAGAAAAAGAGGGCAGCAAAACAAACAUCCCUGGAUCAGUUUCUCAAAAAGCCAUCAAGCGGCCCUAAGUCUCCCCAAAAUCUUCCCAAAGAAGCCCUUCUGAAUUCCAUGACCCUGAUGACAGUGUUCCUUCACCUUCUGAUUAAAUACAAUUUCAUGUGAUUAUUUACUGUAUUGCCUUGUUUAAUCGAUUUGUAUACAGUACACUUUAGAAAGCAUUGUACUGUACAGUGUAUAUCAUUUAUAGUUGAUUAAAUAGUUGAUUUAAA